UACAGAGGGUGCUAGCGUUGUUCGGAAUCAUUGGGCGUAAAGGGCGUGUAGGCGGUUUGUUAAGUCAUGUGUGAAAUCCCUCGGCUCAACCGGGGAACGACGCAUGAAACUGGCAAGCUAGAGUACCAAAGAGGGGGGUGGAAUUCCUGGUGUAGCGGUGAAAUGCGCAGAUAUCAGGAGGAACACCGGUGGCGAAGGCGGGGUCUCUGGGCAACAACUGACGCUGAGGAGCGAAAAGCGUGGGGAGCGAACAGG
rnacentral:rRNA from 1 species